rnacentral:rRNA from 1 species
UACAGAGGGGGCGAGCGUUGUUCGGAAUUACUGGGCGUAAAGGGCGCGUAGGCGGCCUCUUAAGUCGAACGUGAAAUCCCCGGGCUCAACCCGGGAACUGCGUCCGAUACUGGGGGGCUUGAAUCCGGGAGAGGGAUGUGGAAUUCCAGGUGUAGCGGUGAAAUGCGUAGAUAUCAGGAGGAACACCGAUGGCGAAGGCAGAUCUCUGGGCCGUAACUGACGCUGAGGAGCGAAAGCAUGGGGAGCGAACAGG